rnacentral:lncRNA from 1 species
CCACCCACUGUCACUGAUGCUCUGGGCUCAGCUGGUUCCCCUCCCCACCUUUCAUCUUGGGGCCCACAUCUUACCCCGAACAUGUGCCCCAAGUCCACAGCUGAACAGCACUCUCUCUCCUUCCAAAUGCUGGACCCUCCCAGCUCGUGCAGGAGAUUAAACAUGCACAUUACAGGCCACACUGAGCCCUUCCGGGAUGGGGUCAAUGACCCCGGCUCUUGUGCGAUAAUUAUAUCUCCCAGGUACUUUCAGUUCCAGGGCUUCCGAGUCUUUGAUCCAGGGCAUCUCCCAGGGGAAAGCAACUUCCCAUGACCCAAGAUUUUCUUUGAGAUCAAGAAAGUGUGGCUGUGAGGUGAGAGAGUGUACCCACCUCUCCUUGGAAGAGCAAGUGGUCUCACCUUUUUUGUGUGGAUUCCACUGUGGCAGCCCUGAGACCCUCUUCUGACCAUGCCUGGACCUUGGCCAGCACUUCCUUGGUUACUGAGACCUGGAAUGCAGGCUUGGAAGAUGGACUAGGCAGGGAGAGCAGCUGCUGCUAGGUGGAGAGAGCUGUUGAGAGAUGCAUGGGAGAGCAGCCUUUCUCCCUUCAGAUACAUUUCUUCUGGAUGGAAAAAAAGAAAGAAAAAGAAAUCAAGAAAACUACAAAAAGUCAUUGAAAGAGAAACCAAGACCAAGUACUCUGCCACUAUCUGAGGAUGGUGGCUGCUUUGCAAGACCUUGGGCUUGGGAAUACAGAGACUCUCCCCCCCUCCCCAUUAUUUCAUGUUACCUUGCCACAGAGCAGUGGCACAUUGAAGAUUCAUGUUCCAAAAGCUACUAUACAGAGGAUAACUGAACUUAGAACGACAUUUGAUGGCUGUCUGGGAGCCAACCAUGAGAGCUGCGGAGGCAACCCAUCUACCUAGAGACUUCUACAGCCCGGAAACUUCCCGCCACCCCUCCUUAGCUCCCUAACAAAUCACAAGACACUUUCUAGCCUAGAUAUGGAUGAUCAGGCAUACUUAAAAGCCAAC